GAUGAACGCUAGCGGCAGGCCUCAUACAUGCAAGUCGAGGGGCAGCGGGACACUCCGGUGUUGCCGGCGACCGGCGGACGGGUGCGUAAUGCGCAUGCAAUCUACUUUACACUGGGGAAUAGCCUCCGGAAACGGGAAUUAAUACCCCAUAUAAUCUUAUUAGCGCAUGUUAAAAAGAUGAAAGCUCCGGCGGUGUAAAAUGAGCGUGCGUCCUAUUAGCUAGUUGGUGAGGUAAUGGCUCACCAAGGCUACGAUGGGUAGGGGUUCUUAGUGGAAGGUCCCCCACACUGGCACUGAGAUACGGGCCAGACUCCUACGGGAGGCAGCAGUAGGGAAUAUUGGUCAAUGGGCGCAAGCCUGAACCAGCCAUGCCGCGUGCAGGAUGAAGGCUCUCUGAGUUGUAAACUGCUUUUGUACAGGAGCAAAAAAGUCCCUGCGGGGAUUCUUGAGCGUACUGUUAAGAAUAAGCACCGGCUAAUUCCGUGCCAGCAGCCGCGGUAAUACGGGAGGUGCAAGCGUUAUCCGGUUUUAUUGGGUUUAAGGGUGCGUAGGCGGCUUAUUAAGUCAGUUGUGAAAUCCUAGUGCUUAACGCUAGAACUGCGAUUGAUACUAUUAGGCUUGAGUUAAGAAGAGGUAAGCAGAAUUUAUGGUGUAGUAGUGAAAUGCUUAGAUAUCAUAAGGAAUACCAAUAGCGUAGGCAGCUUACUGGUCUUUAACUGACGCUGAGGCACGAAAGCGUGGGGAGCAAACAGGAUUAGAUACCCUGGUAGUCCACGCCGUAAACGAUGAUCACUCGAUAUACAUGAUACAUCAUGUGUGUCUAAGCGAAAGCGUUAAGUGAUCCACCUGGGGAGUAUACUCGCAAGGGUGAAACUCAAAGGAAUUGACGGGGGUCCGCACAAGCGGUGGAGUAUGUGGUUUAAUUCGAUAAUACGCGAGGAACCUUACCUGGGCUAGAAUGUGUUUUGCUACCUUGAGAAAUUGAGGGUUCCUUCGGGACGGAAUACAAGGUGCUGCAUGGCUGUCGUCAGCUCGUGCCGUGAGGUGUUGGGUUAAGUCCUAUAACGAGCGAAACCCUUUUACUUAAUUGCCAGCACGUAAUGGUGGGGACUUUAAGUAGACUGCCCGUGUAAGCGGGAGGAAGGAGAGGACGAGGUCAAGUCAUCAUGGCCUUUAUGCCCAGGGCUACACACGUACUACAAUGGCAUGUACAAAGGGAAGCUACUUGGCAACAAGAUGCAAAUCUCAAAAGCAUGUCUCAGUUCGGAUUGAGGUCUGCAAUUCGACCUCAUGAAGUUGGAAUCGCUAGUAAUCGCGUAUCAGCAAUGACGCGGUGAAUACGUUCUCGGACCUUGUACACACCGCCCAUCAAGCCAUGGGAGUUGGUAGAGCUUGAAGACAGUGGCCGUAAAAGGAGCUGUUUAGUGUUAGACCAGCGACUGGGGC
rnacentral:rRNA from 1 species